rnacentral:rRNA from 1 species
UACGUAGGGUGCGAGCGUUAAUCGGAAUUACUGGGCGUAAAGCGUGCGCAGGCGGUGAUGUAAGACAGGUGUGAAAUCCCCGGGCUUAACCUGGGAAUGGCAAUGGAGACUGCAAGGCUAGAGUUUGGCAGAGGGGGGUAGAAUUCCACGUGUAGCAGUGAAAUGCGUAGAUAUGUGGAGGAACACCGAUGGCGAAGGCAGCCCCCUGGGUCAAAACUGACGCUCAUGCACGAAAGCGUGGGGAGCAAACAGG